CCCUUAGAUGUUCUGGGCUGCACACGUGCUACACUGAUUAUUUCAACAAGUGUUUUAACUGGAGAGUUCGCGUAAUCCUGAAAUGUUAUCGUGAUGGGAGUAGAGUAUUGUAUUUGUUAAUCUUUAACGAGGAAUUCCUAGCAAGUGUAGGUUUAUAAGUUGUUCUGAUUACGUCCCUGCCCUUUGUACACACCGCCCGUCGCUCCUACCGAUUGAUUGAUCCGGUGAAUUACAUAGAAUUUUGCGUUUUACAUGACGGAAGACGAAGUGUUUUAAACCUUAUCAUUUAGAGGAAGGAGAAGUCGUAACA
rnacentral:rRNA from 1 species